AGGUUGGCUCAGAAGCAGCCAUCCUUUAAAGAGUGCGUAACAGCUCACUAGUCGAAUGACUCUGCGCCGAUAAUUUACCGGGGCUAAGCAUACUACCGAAGCUAUGGAUCCCAAGGGAUGGUAGGGGAGCGUUCCAUGAACGGAGAAGUACGACCGAAAGGACGUGUGGAGAUCAUGGAAGAGAGAAUGCCGGUGUGAGUAGCGGAACGUGGGUGAGAAUCCCACGCACCGAAAACCCAAGGUUUCCAGAGGAAGGUUCGUCCGCUCUGGGUAAGUCGGGACCUAAGGCGAGGCCGAAAGGCGUAGUCGAUGGACAACAGGUAGAGAUUCCUGUACCCGUAUAUAUGUGAAGGAAUGACGGAGAGAGGAAGCUGCAGCCAGCGGCUGGAAGAGCUGGUGCAAGCGAGAUAUCGGGAUGGCAGGCAAAUCCACCAUCCGAAACGAGAAGGCGUGAAGCGUACGGAAAGCUACGGCGAGUACGGAAGGCAGUGGAGGAACUUCCAAGAAAAGUUUCUAACGUUAAGUAUAUAUGGCCCGUACCGAAAAUGGACACACAUGGGUGAGGAGAGAAUCCUAAGGUGAGCGAGAGAACUAUAGCUAAGGAACUCUGCAAAAUGACUCCGUAACUUAGGGAGAAGGAGUGCUCAUAGAGAUAUGAGCCGCAGUGAAACGGCCCAAGCGACUGUUUACCAAAAACACAGCUCUCUGCUAAGCCGCAAGGCGAAGUAUAGGGGGUGACGCCUGCCCGGUGCUGGAAGGUUAAGGGGAGGGGUUAACGCAAGUGAAGCCCUGAACUGAAGCCCCAGUAAACGGCGGCCGUAACUAUAACGGUCCUAAGGUAGCGAAAUUCCUUGUCAGGUAAGUUCUGACCCGCACGAAAGGCGUAACGAUUUGGGCGCUGUCUCAGCUGUAGACUCGGUGAAGUCUUAGUACCUGUGAAGAUGCAGGUUACCCGCGACUAGACGGAAAGACCCCAUGGAGCUUCACUGCAGGUUGAUAUUGGGAUUUGAUGCAGCAUGUACAGGAUAGGUAGGAGGCAAAGAGAUGGAUACGCCAGUAUUCAAGGAGCCGCUGUUGGGAUACUACCCCUGUUGUAUUGGAUUUCUAACCGGACGACGUAGAACCGUUGACGGGACAGUGUCAGUCGGGCAGUUUGACUGGGGCGGUCGCCUCCCAAAGAGUAACGGAGGCGCCCAAAGAUACCCUCAGCUUGGAUGGAAACCAAGCGCAGAGUGCAAAGGCAAAAGGGUGUUUGACUGCGAGACCCACAAGUCGAGCAGGGACGAAAGUCGGGCUUAGUGAUCCGGCGGUGCCGAAUGGAAGGGCCGUCGCUCAACGGAUAAAAGCUACCCUGGGGAUAACAGGCUGAUCUCGCCCAAGAGUUCACAUCGACGGCGAGGUUUGGCACCUCGAUGUCGGCUCAUCGCAUCCUGGAGCUGGAUUCGGUUCCAAGGGUUGGGCUGUCCGCCCAUUAAAGCGGUACGCGAGCUGGGUUCAGAACGUCGUGAGACAGUUCGGUCCCUAUCUGUCGUGGGCGCAGGAAAUUUGAGAAGAGCUGUCCUCAGUACGAGAGGACCGGGAUGGACGCAUCAAUGGUGGACCAGUUGUCACGCCAGUGGCAUAGCUGGGUAGCUAAAUGCGGAAGGGAUAAACGCUGAAGGCAUCUAAGUGUGAAACCCACUUCAAGAUGAGAUUUCCCAUUGCGCAAGCAAGUAAGACCCCUUAAAGACGAUAAGGUAGAUAGGUCAGGAGUGUAAGCAUGGUGACAUGUUAAGCGGACUGAUACUAAUAGGUCGAGGGCUUGACCGA
rnacentral:rRNA from 1 species